rnacentral:misc_RNA from 1 species
UACGGAGGGUGCGAGCGUUAAUCGGAAUUACUGGGCGUAAAGCGCGCGUAGGCGGUUGCGUAAGUUGGAUGUGAAAUCCCCGGGCUCAACCUGGGAAUUGCAUUCAAAACUGCGCGGCUAGAGUGUGGGAGAGGAAGGUAGAAUUCCAGGCGUAGCGGUGAAAUGCGUAGAUAUCUGGAGGAAUACCGAUGGCGAAGGCAGCCUUCUGGCCUAACACUGACGCUGAGGUGCGAAAGCAUGGGGAGCAAACAGG